rnacentral:misc_RNA from 1 species
AUCUCUCAACACAGACAGAUUCUGUCUGUUGUUUGGAUCUUGAAGGCUUGCUGGCAUUGUCAGCUCCUUUUAAAUGAAUUAGCAGAAAUCAUGCAGAACUGGCCUCAGUUUGAUAAAGUCUUAUCUGUUGUUGCUGUCGCCAGGAUAAUGCUAGUUUUUUCAGCUUCUAAUAGUCCUUCUGGGACUGUCUCCUUUGAGGCAUACACUUUGAC